AUGUUUCAAAACAGCAUUCAAUGGUAUGUAAUCCUGUUGGAGGUUGCCCCACCAGCCUACAAUCCAAAUGUGAUGGAUUUCAAUAGUGAAACUCGUAUUUAUAUCACCUUCUCUGCUCAAAGUAGAGAAAUAUGCACUGAAUCAAAGGUUCGUUCGUAUUUCAGCCAUUUCGGGCCUGUCAUGUCCGUGACUAUUCCGCAUGGAAGGUCAUAUGGUUUUGUGAGAUUCAUGCUCCCUGGGACAGUGAGGCUGCUUUUAUCAAACUGGAAUCCUGAGGUCCCUCACUUCAUCUCCGGAGCAAGACUUCAUGUGGACCGCUAUAUCCCCUAUUAUCUGUGGAACCUUGCUGAGAAUCAUGGGCCGAAUGGCCUGGAUGGAGGGCCAUGA
rnacentral:rRNA from 1 species